rnacentral:rRNA from 1 species
GACGAACCGUGCGAACGUUGUUCGGAAUCACUGGGCUUAAAGCGUGUGUAGGCGGGCCCGUAAGUGUCUUGUGAAAUCCUACGGCUCAACCGUGGAACUGCUGGGCAUACUGCGGGUCUUGGGCCAACUAGGGGCAGCCGGAACAAGCGGUGGAGCGGUGAAAUGCGUAGAUAUCGCUUGGAACGCCGAAGGUGAAAACAGGCUGCUGGGGUUGCGCCGACGCUGAGACACGAAAGCCAGGGGAGCAAACGGG